rnacentral:lncRNA from 1 species
CCAAGCAGACUUUCCUUGUACAAAAGAACCAACAAUGUUUGUUUUAACAACAUCGAUUUCCUGACUUCUCUUUCUUUUACAUACAAACUCUUUUUUUCAUUCUCAUCACUCGUCUCUUUUUGUUUUUCUUUUGCAUCGUUCUCUCUUUUUUUAUCACUCAUUUUUUUGCUUUUCUUCUUUUCUACACUCUUUUCUUUAUUCUUUUCAUUUUUUUGUUCUCGCUCAUUUUCUUUUGAUUUUUUUAAUGGAACUCCUUAUUUUGAGCUCAUCUUCAUAAUCUUGUUUGGGUGUUAGCGGAGCUAACGUCACCGUUUGUACCAAAUGUUUAAAGGUAAAUCGAUUUGUGUAUCCAUCAUGAAUCACACAUUUUUCAAAUUGCCAGGGCCGUCCAAGAAGACGAUGUCCUGCAUGCAUCGGCACAACAUCACACAUCACUUCGUCUUGAUAUUUUCCAAUUGAAAAUGAAAUAAGCACUUGCUUUGUCACCUUAAGUUCUCCACCAUCA